CCGCGUGCGGCAGGAGAGCUUGAGGAGAUACGGAGGUCGCCGCGUCUCUCAAAGAGGCCGCUGUCGCAACUCCGGCCAUCUGCAAUUAGCUUCCGCCAUCCAUCGGCACGACAAAGCAGAGGUGGUGCUGUUGCAACAAGCAGGUUCAGAGACUACUUUGAUCUGAGAAUUUCUCUGACUUAGAAAGGUGACUGACGUGUCUACUAGAAGAGACCCCUAAACUGCAGGAAACUUAUACGACGGAAUUUCCAGCGAACUUAGUCCACCACUUAUGUUGUUUAUCUUUUUGCUUCCAUCUUACUGGUAAAUUUUCAAGUUAUUCUAGUUCGGUUGAGACGAUUCAGUGUGGUACCAUUUUGUAUCUCAAUUUUUUUUCCUAAUAUUCUGAAUUUUCUAAACUA